UGUAAGCGUAUACCAAAGUUGUUGCAGUUAAAACGCUCGUAGUCGGAAUUUGGCAGUUCCGGAAGUGUGCACGUCGUGUGCGCACUUUGCGGGGACUGCUUUUGUGGUCUUGCGUAGGAUGAGGCACUUUCAGUAGUGAACGUCCUCACGCAACCACUCUUUACUGUGAGAAAAUCAGAGUGCUCAAAGCAGGCAUUUGCCGUGAAUGUAUUAGCAUGGAAUAAUAGAAUAGGACUCGGUUCUAUUUUGUUGGUUUGUUGGGACUGAGUAAUGAUUAAGAGGGACAGUUGGGGGCAUUUGUAUUCCGGCGCUAGAGGUGAAAUUCUUAGAUUGCCGGAAGACAAACUGCUGCGAAAGCGUCUGCCAAGGAUGUUUUCAUUGA
rnacentral:rRNA from 1 species